AUUGGAUUUCUAACCCGCAGCACUUAUCGUGCUGGGAGACAGUGUCAGGCGGGCAGUUUGACUGGGGCGGUCGCCUCCUAAAGAGUAACGGAGGCGCUCAAAGGUUCCCUCAGAAUGGUUGGAAAUCAUUCAUAGAGUGUAAAGGCAUAAGGGAGCUUGACUGCGAGACCUACAAGUCGAGCAGGGUCGAAAGACGGACUUAGUGAUCCGGUGGUUCCGCAUGGAAGGGCCAUCGCUCAACGGAUAAAAGCUACCCCGGGGAUAACAGGCUUAUCUCCCCCAAGAGUUCACAUCGACGGGGAGGUUUGGCACCUCGAUGUCGGCUCAUCGCAUCCUGGGGCUGUAGUCGGUCCCAAGGGUUGGGCUGUUCGCCCAUUAAAGCGGUACGCGAGCUGGGUUCAGAACGUCGUGAGACAGUUCGGUCCCUAUCCGUCGUGGGCGUAGGAAAUUUGAGAGGAGCUGUCCUUAGUACGAGAGGACCGGGAUGGACAUACCUCUGGUGUACCAGUUGUCGUGCCAACGGCAUAGCUGGGUAGCUAUGUAUGGACGGGAUAAGUGCUGAAAGCAUCUAAGCAUGAAGCCCCCCU
rnacentral:rRNA from 1 species